GGCCGGUUAGCUCAGUUGGUUAGAGCGUCGUGCUAAUAACGCGAAUGUCGUGGGUUCGAGCCCCAUUCUGGCCA
rnacentral:tRNA from 1 species